GUUUCCUCGAUUUUCGGUGGAACAGACGCUCUCUUUGGGAAUUGACACGAUCCAUCUUGUUCUCACACUUCCCACGCUUCUCUCAUUUGCAAGCGUAAGCAUGCAAAACUUUAUCCCCAAAUAAGCGCGAAGCUCAGGCAUUUCCAAGGCUUGCUGUAAUUGAAAUUGGAGCACGAAGAAUCCAGCAAGAGAAUCAUUUGCUCUGCAACACUUUCCCUUUAACAGUCAGGUCUUUAUCAAUCACCUCUUUAUCAAGUAAUGGUGUGAGAAGGAAAGAUGGCUAUAGUUUUUCUAGUGGAAGAGGUCUUGCUUUGGUUCAAGUGCUUUCUGGUAGGGGCCUGCAAUUCUUUCAAAGUGCAUGAAUGGAAGAUCUUGUGAAGUUCUGGGAAAACAUACAUAGUGGAAACAAUAAACAAUAGGAAGGGUUGGUUUAUUGCGUUGGCAGAAUGGUUUGGGAAAGACAGGAAGCAGUUGAUAUGUCUUCCAAUGGGAAAAUAGAGAAGAGGGUGGAAUAUAAUUUUGGACAAUCUACAGGGCUUCCAGAUAAGGGGAAAGAAGGAGGAUGGUUCAAAAUGCCAACAGACGAAACAGGUUUCAGUUCAAGAGAAACAAAUGAAGCAUAUGAAACAACCUCUGGUUGUGGUUAAAACUUCACUCUUGGUGGAAGAGAAGGAACAAAAAAUUCAACUAUCCUACUGUAUCAAAUCUCCCAAGGACAGAACGACUGCCUCGAGAGGCCUCUGGCCUCUGGAGCAAAAUAUUUAUUGUGGAAGUUAAUAAACCAAUAGGUGAUUGGAAGAAGGUUGCUGAAGCCAUUAAAAGGAAGUUGAAUAUCGAGGGUAGUCUCACGAUCUUUCCAUUCUGUGACCAAAAGGCCAUCUUCGAUACCCUGAACCCUCUGAGAGUUUUUUAUGUGACUCAGAUUCAAAUUGAACAAGGUUAUCUGUGUGUUCAAAGAUGGAGCCCUGCCACCAACUCAGUUGUACUGGCAGAAAAUCCUAGGGUGAAAAUUGUCGGGGCUGCAUUCCACCUCUGGUUUGUUUCAAACUUCAAGAAGAUUGCUUAGCUGUGCGGUGGUGUGCUCAGAGAACUUAACUGCUCAAACCUUCGAGCAACUUCGUUCAAGCUGGUGGAGGUUAAGCCAAAAAACGUCCAUUGAAUGGUUGAAUUUAUGGUGGAUGGAACAGUUUAUGAAACUUGGAUCCUUACAGACCUGGAGUCCAAGCUUUGGAAGGAAGUAAAGGAAGAAGAUGAUAAGGUGGCAUUGGGUGGAUUGUGUGGAAGACCCUGGUUGGCUGAGGCAAGUGAGCAGUCGAAUACAGGAAGCUCAACCGUCUGGGUCUGAAUUAGGAAAAGGAGGGCUGUGGAUUACUAAUUUCUCUAUGCAAGCUGGACCAUCAAGUUUGAUCGUAGGGUCAGGUUUAAAUCGUAUGCAGAGAUAGUGUCAGACCAAUUUGACAUCCACAGAAAGGAAAUUCUUGAAGCGGGAAAAGGAAAAGGGUUGGUUGAACCUGAAGAUCCUUUGAUUGAACCGGGAGAAGACAAAAAUAAGGCUGUAGUUUGGGUAAAAAUACUGAAUACUGUCGAACUGGGGUCGGCCAAAGCAGGUGAUCACUUAAGUGAUCAUGUGAUCCCUCUUAUUUCUAUAACAGGGGUAUAUCUUUGAUGUAGGCGCUCAUUACUAACUCCAGGCAGGUUCAAGUAUAAAUAUGUGGCAUCACAAUGAGGUAAGACAUCUUGGCAUUUAUUGCUCUCAGCUCUUUAGCUUCCUGGUGACCUUGUCUGAGCUAUCCUACUCAGGCCUCGUCCUACCCUCUUUGUUACGCCCUUGCUAACUUGACCGUCAGAGUCUCUGCCCUUGGGAUAACACCCGGGGCCUCUGACGUGCUACUUCCUCUACAGGUCGGACUUACAGGCCCUCAUCUCUAUCAGCCCUCAGACUCAUCAGCCAGCCCUCAUCUCGGAAGUAUAUUUACAUUGUUGCCCUUGACCCAUUCCAGGUAGCAACAAUCUUCAUCCCCUAUAACGUCUUCUUCGAAGCAACAAGGACUGAAGGAACCCCCCUCAGAUGAUGGUAGGAAAAAAAAGCUCAAUCUUGGAGCUUCUUAUUUCAUGCGGAUACCGGUGCAGUCAGAAAACUCUACUACACCUAAUAAACCAAAUCUGAGGUACUUCAGGGAACCUAGAUAAGAUUUGGAUGAGGACAGCGACUGGGAGGACGCACAAGGCUUUGAAAAUGAAGAAAAUGAAGAAGUUGCAGAGUUAAACCAACCUUCAAGUGUUGAAAGCAUAGACUCCCUAAAUGCUUGCAAUUUCUUUGAUGAAGAUUGCUUGGGAACCGAGAUUUUGUUUGAGGAUCAGUUUGCGGAAAGAACAGUCAAGUUAGUAACGGAAGCUGAGAGAGAAAAGCUCACCCCUCUCUGUUGGUAGGUCAUCCUUUAUUAUUGUUUAACAAGGGUUGACAUUUCAUUUGCUGUUAGUGUGGUUAUCCAGUUUAUGCAUAAGCCAAAACUCCUUAUAUGCAAGUUGUGGACAGAAUUCUAUGCUCCUUAAAGGGAUGCUUUGGAAAGGGGGUAUUAUACUCUAACCCAAUUUUCAAAGUAUUGAUAGAAUCGAUAUGCAUGAACAUGCAUAUCGGGUAUUUUGAGUGGGGCAUAUUGUAUCGAUACUUUGAACCUUAGUUUUUACUUUCAUAUUUUCAGAAGGGGACAGUAAUAAUGUUAUUUAACAUUCAAAAAUAUGAGUUUUUGGAAAAGCAUUAAAAAUAUUGUAUUGAUACUUUGAACCUUUCUCUAACCAUGGACAUCUUAAUGUGGUGUGAUAUAGAGAUGCUGAAUGUGUUGGUUCCAUUGAUGAUAGAACAUAGAAGAUCUACUUGAACAAAAAAACUGUUUAUUUUAUUUUACUUUUACUUUCAUAUUUUCACAAUGGGAUGGUAAUAAUGUUAUUUGACAUUUAAAGAUACAAGUUUUUGGAAAAGCAUUAAAAGGGCUUAUUGGUGAUCUGUUGGAAUGAUAAGAUACACACAAUGUGGCAUAUUGUAUCAAUACAUUGAACCUUCUCUAACCAUCAGCGUCUUAAUGAGGCAUAUAGAGAUGCUGAAUAGGUUGGUUCCAUUGAUGAUAGAAGAUCUACUUCAGCUUAUUGGGCCUUUGUUGGAGGUACUUCAGUGUCAUGGAAAAGUAAGAAAUAAUAGGUUGUCGGUUGAUCCAGUGUAAAGACUGAAUAUCAAGCAAUGGCACAUUAUGUAUUUGAGUUGUUGUUGUUGGAAGACUUGUUGAUUGAGCUUGGAGUAAAGCUUGAUACACUCUUGAAGUUAUAUUUUGAAAAUCGGUCUGCUAUAAUUAUAGCUAACAAUUCGGUUCAACAUGAUCUUACUAAGCAUAUAGAAGUGAAUAGACACUUAUAGAGAAUGAGUCACUAUUGGAGAGAUUUGUUUGUCCUUUGUGAAGUUUGAAGAACAAUUAGCUGAUUGCCUCACCAAAGGUGCACCUCGACCAAAUUUAGAAGAUAAUUGGCGAAAUUGGGCAUGAUAGACAUCUAUGCUCAGUUCGAGGGGGAAUGUUGAGAUAUUGAUGGGUGGCUAAUGGGGGGUAUUUCAGUCAUUGUAAUUAGUUUUAAAUCUCUAAUAUAAAUACUAAUUAUUGGGGUGUUAGAUCCAAGUUAGAUUCUCUCCCCUUUUUUCUAAAUUUUCUCUAUUAUUCUCUUCUUCAUUAUUCUUCAUUCUGUUUGAUCACUAUCUUAUUAAUACUGUAACAUCACAACUAUUUUUACUGAUGUGGUGUGAACAAAAAUAAAGAAAAUGCAAGGACCCAUAUUGCUGAAAUUCCCCCUUAUUGGUUUCAUUGUUGGUAUGCUAAAUGUCAUUUUCUGGGUAUUUGACAGGGAAGAGUCGAGGACAUUUAUAAAAGAAAGCAUGGGCUAAUUAGGAUGAUGGUCGAGUUAAGCGUAGCUAAUUCUUACAAGUUACAAUAACCCAGUGUAGAGGAAAACGUGAAACAACUUUUUGUAGCCAGGUAUUUUCAUUGGCAAUGCCUUCC